GUUUAAAAUUGAUGUUAAGUUAUAUUCCAUAUGUCACAGAUUUUAGAUUUAGAUUUGUGAGUUUACAGUGAAAUCACUUUUCUGGCACAUGUGGCCAUGAAUGUCAAGACAAGUCCAGAGGGAUAAAUAGCUGUGGAAGAAAAGCUGUCAUCCUAUUUCCCAGUCCAGGUGAAGUGAGCAACCAUGAAGACCUUCAUCUUCCUUGCUCUCCUGGGAGCUGCUGCCACUUUCCCCACUAGUGAUGAUGAUGACAAGAUAGUUGGGGGCUACACCUGUCAGAGGAAUUCUGUUCCCUAUCAGGUGUCCCUGAAUGCUGGCUAUCACUUCUGUGGCGGCUCCCUCAUCGAUAAAAAAUGGGUGGUGUCCGCAGCUCACUGCUACAAGUCCCAAAUCCAAGUGCGUCUGGGAGAAUACAACAUUAAGGUCUAUGAAGGCAAUGAACAAUUCAUAAAUGCAACCAAGAUUAUUCGCCACCCCAAGUAUAACUCAGCCACCAUUGAUAAUGACAUCAUGCUGAUUAAGCUGAGCUCGGCCGCCACCAUCCACUCUCAAGUGGCCACCGUCUCUCUACCAACAUCCUGUGCAGUGGCUGGUACUCAGUGCCUCAUCUCUGGCUGGGGCAACACGCUGAGCAGUGGCACCAACUACCCUGACCUCCUGCAGUGUCUGAAGGCUCCCAUUCUCUCUAACACUCCUUGCCGCACAGCCUACCUGGGCAAGAUUACUACAAACAUGAUAUGUCUGGGAUUCCUGGAGGGUGGAAAGGACUCUUGCCAGGUCAAAAUCAAUAGCCGAUUUGGGUACCAUCAAGGCACCUGAAACCUUAUCAUAAGCCAGAUGCCAAGGAAGAGACUCCGGGAGAAUCCCGAGGACCCCCCAGUUGCAGCCAUGUGGAGACUGAUACUGAGGAGGACCCCAACUGUCACGAGCAACACCCAUCCAACACAGCCACCCACCUCGGGACAGAUCAAGAAACUGUCACAGACGGCGGAAGAAAACCUGAGGAAAGCGGGACAACCAGUCACAAUGAAUAAUUUAAUCGUAGCUAUUAUAGUGAUUAUCACCACUACCUGUGCAGAUGCAGAUCCUGACUCCUGAGAGAAGUAGCUCAUCGUGACAAAGUUGCCCUUGCUUUUAUCUCUGCAAAUCAGAGAAGGGGGACAUGUUGGAAGCAAGCCCCCCAAAAUCUGGUCAUAAACUGGCCCCAAGACU